rnacentral:lncRNA from 1 species
AAGUAUGUAUGUAGCUGCAUACCUAAGUACUCCCUCAGAGUAUCUGUGUGGCCAGCAAACACAAGGCACUGGCAUCUGCUGUGGGAACACGAGGCCCUGGCGUGGGCAAACUGGAAGGGGCCAUGUGAGGCUGGAGCUCAUGUUGCUGGUGCUGGUGAAUCUUUGUGGGAUACCUUGGCUCCAGGUUACCUUACCUGUUGAUAAAACAGGAAUAAAAGCAGACAGCUUGCUUAAACUUCCCAAUCCUGUGCCUUUCCAACAUCAAGAGCUCUAUGCCUAA